rnacentral:lncRNA from 1 species
GUGUGUGCAUUCCUUGUGCAUCCCUUUCGUGUUCCUCCUGCAUUCCAUGUGCAGCCUCGUGCAGCGUUUCUGCAUCCUCGUGUGCCCAGGUGCCUCAUUCACACUCCUGCACCCUUGUGUGUGUCCUUGUGCCCUCCUGGCUGUCCCUGUGCCUGUCUUUGUGCCCUCCUGGCUGUCCCUGUGCACACUCGUGUGUCCCUGUGUGGCCCCCAAGCACCCCUGCCCAUCCACGUGCAGCCCAGUGCAGGCCUGUGUGUCACUGUGCCCCCUUGUGCAGCGUUGCAUUGUGCAUUCUUGUGCAUCCCCAUGCAUGCUUGUGCAUCCUCCUGCAUCCUUCUACACCCCUGUGCAGGCUCAUGGAUCACGGUGCAUUCUCCUGCAUGCCAAUGCAUCCUCCUGCAUCCUCCUGCAUCCCUGCAUAUCCUCCUGGAUGAUAGUGCAUCCUGCUGCAUCCCUGUGCAUCCUCCUGUAUGCCAAUGCAUCCUCCUGCAUUCCAAUGCAUCCUCAUGCAUCCUUGUGCAUCCCCGUGCCUGCUCAUGCAUCCCUGUGCAUCCUCCUGCAUCCCUGUGCAUCCUCCUACACCCCUGUGCAUCCUCAUGCACUCCAAUGUAUCCUCCUGCAUCCCUGUGCAUCCCUGUGCCUGCUCAUGCAUCCCUGUGCAUCCUUCUGCACCCCUGUGUAUCCUCCUGCAUCCCUGUGCAUCCGUGUGCAUUCCAAUGCAUCCUCCUGCAUUCCAAUGCAUCCUCCUGCAUCCUCCUGCAUCCCUGUGCAUCCUCCUGCAUUCCAAUGCAUACUCCUGGAUUCCAGUGCAUCCUCCUGGAUUCCAGUGCAUCCUCCUGCAUCCCUGUGCAUCCCUGUGCCUGCUCAUGCACCCCUGUGCAUCCUCCUGCAUCCCUGUGCAUUCUCCUGCAUCCCUGUGCAUCCUCCUGCAUUCCAAUGCAUUCUCCUGCAUCCUCAUGCACCCCUGUGCAUCCUCCUGCAUCCCUGUGCAUUCUCCUGCAUCCCUGUGCAUCCCUGUGC